CCUACGGGUGGCAGCAGUGGGGAAUAUUGGACAAUGGGGGGAAGCCUGAUCCAGCGACGCCGCGUGAGUGAAGAAGGAUUUCGGGAUGUAAAGCUCUAUUAGCAGGGAAGAAAGAAAUGACGGUACCUGACGAAGAAGCCGCGGCUAACUACGUGCCAGCAGCCGCGGUAAUACGUAGGGGGCAAGCGUUAUCCGGAUUUAAUGGGUGUAAAGGGAGGGUAGGCGGUGAUGCAAGUCCGAAGUGAAAGGCAUGGGCCCAACCCACGGACUGCUUUUGAAACUGUAUGGCUGGAGUGCAGGAGAGGUAAGCGGAAUUCCGGGUGUAGCGGUGAAAUGCGUAGAUAUUAGGAGGAACACCAGUGGCGAAGGCGGCUUACUGGACAGUAACUGACGCUGAGGCUCGAAAGCGUGGGGAGCAAACAGGAUUAGAUACCCUGGUAGUC
rnacentral:rRNA from 1 species